CUUUACUGCAACUUGACGUUGGAACUUGGCUGUAUUUGUGUAGGAUAGGUGGGAGACUUUGAAGCAGGGCCGCCAGGUCUUGCGGAGUCGUCGUUGAAAUACCACCCUGGUGCUGCCGAUUUCUAACCGUGUCCGUAAGCCGGACAUGAGACAGCGUCUGGUGGGCAGUUUGACUGGGGCGGUCGCCUCCUAAAAGGUAACGGAGGCCUUCAAAGGUCCCCUCAGCGUGGUCGGUAAUCACGCGCAGAGUGCAAACGCAUAAGGGGGCUUAACUGCGAGACCGACAGGUCGAGCAGGUACGAAAGUAGGAGUUAGUGAUCCCGCGGUUUAGCGUGGAAUUGCCGUUGCUCAAUGGAUAAAAGGUA
rnacentral:rRNA from 1 species